rnacentral:misc_RNA from 1 species
UGUUCCUCCCCCUCAAAUGAUGGGGAUACAGGGGGCAGUGGAUCUUACAGAGGAAGUUGUUUAAUUUCAAUUUCCUGUUUGUGCAAUAUAAUUUGAAUGUACUUGUACCUAUAUUUCAGUAUGUGCCAAAAUUCAAAGCACCUGUAUUCUAUAUUUUUGUUCAGCACGACUACAAGCAGUGGUAGUAUUUUGUACAGUAUUGUUCUUGUUAUCAAUAAAUUAUUCAUAAUAAU